rnacentral:rRNA from 1 species
AUUGAACGCUGGCGGCAGGCCUAACACAUGCAAGUCGAGCGAGCGGCGGACGGGUGAGUAAUGUAUGGGGACUGCCCGAUAGAGGGGGAUAACUACUGGAAACGGUAGCUAAUACCGCAUACUAUCGGAUAACCCAUAUGGGAUUAGCUAGUAGGUGAGGUAAUGGCUCACCUAGGCGACGAUCCCUAGCUGGUCUGAGAGGAUGAUCAGCCACACUGGGACGGAGCCACGGCCCAGACUCUUAUGGAGGCAGUAGUGGGGAAUAUUGCACAAUGGGCGAAGUCCGGAGACAGCCAUGCCGCGUGGAUGAAGAAGGCCCGAGGGUUUGAAAGUACUUUCAGUCGGGAGGCGGUACCGUAAGAAGAAGCAACGGCUAACUCCGUGCCAGCAGCCGCGGUAAUAC